rnacentral:rRNA from 1 species
GCUCGUAGUUGAACCUUGGGUCUGGCUGGCCGGUCCGCCUCACCGCGAGUACUGGUCCGGCUGGACCUUUCCUUCUGGGGAACCUCAUGGCCUUCACUGGCUGUGGGGGGAACCAGGACUUUUACUGUGAAAAAAUUAGAGUGUUCAAAGCAGGCCUUUGCUCGAAUACAUUAGCAUGGAAUAAUAGAAUAGGACGUGCGGUUCUAUUUUGUUGGUUUCUAGGACCGCCGUAAUGAUUAAUAGGGAUAGUCGGGGGCGUCAGUAUUCAGCUGUCAGAGGUGAAAUUCUUGGAUUUGCUGAAGACUAACUACUGCGAAAGCAUUCGCCAAGGAUGUUUUCAUUAAUCAGGGAACGAAAGUUAGGGGAUCGAAGACGAUCAGAUACCGUCGUAGUCUUAACCAUAAACUAUGCCGACUAGGGAUCGGGCGGUGUUUCUAUGAUGACCCGCUCGGCACCUUACGAGAAAUCAAAGUUUUUGGGUUCUGGGGGGAGUAUGGUCGCAAGGCUGAAACUUAAAGAAAUUGACGGAAGGGCACCACAAGGCGUGGAGCCUGCGGCUUAAUUU